UCCGUCGCGAGAAACAAACUUGCAAAUGCUGCUCGUCGACUCGUUUGUUAACUAUAGCUGCUGAACUGCUGGUAAUCUUUUUAUUCGAAACGUCUAGCUGCUGGACCUCUCGUGGUUUUUGCCGUCAUCGGCAGUUAGUGCGAGGACGGAAUUUACCGGAUAGCGGUUUUGCCUUCUGUCGUGUCAUUCUCAGCGUAACAUCGGGCAGUUUGUAAAGUUUGAAGCAACGUUCCGGGUUCGACCGCGAAAAGAAAAACACGGUUGAUGGUAUUUUCUUAAGAAAAUCUUCUGGUGGAUUGUGUUGCAGGAAUUUAGUUAAGCGCAUGUAACAGUGACCGUCGAAAUUAUAACUUCUAAUCUAGGAUAAAGAAUUUUCGGAAGGGACAAGUCUUCCGGGUUGGCAAAAUCUAAAUCUCCGGAAAGUGGAGCCAUUCGAUCUAUCCGGCAUACGGAAGAGUCGAGAGUGUGCCAUUAUUGUGUGUUGGAAGUUUGUGUCACAAAACCUCUGAGAGGGGAGUGCUGCGGCUGCUGCUGCUGCUGAAUCUAGUUUUCCAUUUUUCUUUUUUUGCUCGUUUGGUGUGGGUUUGCUGGGCAGAAAGAGCAGUGUGCUUUGAAAGUUUUCGAUUUUUUCUCGUUUAGGAUUUUGUGAAAUAAGCAUAUUUUGCUGUGUAGUUAAUUCAAAUUCCAGUAAAUCCGGAAAGAGUCGUCAAUGCCGAGCAACGGCUGAUAGUUUUGAAUGCAUUUUGUUUUUGUUCGGCUUUAUUGUUUCAACACGAGUGUCUAAAAUUUGGCUUUCGAUCGUUUCUUGGUGGGCUUGAAAAUCCGGUGAAAUAUCAGUUGUCCUCAGAGGAAAUACCAACAGCAUUUAGUGUUGCAACUGGCAAAGCAAAAGUUCCAGCCAUUGCAUUUUUAGUGCACCCCACAUUUCAGAGAGUGGAUAAAUCGAAACAGCAGCUACAGAAAAAGUAGUGUGCAAAGAGAAGUAGUUCAAGCUGUAUUUGUGGUGAAACAAGAAUAGCUAUACAUAGGCAAGUCAGCAACCAUCGACCGACCAGCAGCGGAGGCACGAGAGUGCGAAAGUGUUACAAACCUAAAACCAAACCCUGCCCCGUUUGGGAAAAGCAUCGACACGACAGCAGACAAAGAGGAAAACACACGUCCAAACCAUGGAUUUCUUUGAGAAGGGAAGCAUAGUAAACAUUAAGCGAAGUGAUGGUCGCGUACAUUCCGCCAUGGUGUCCCGGAUCCACGAGGCGUCACGCUCGGUCACCGUCGAGUGGUACGAGCGUGGCGAAACCAAGGGCAAGGAAGUCGAGCUGGAUAUGCUGCUCGAGCUGAACAAACCGGAACUGCUGACCGAUGCGGCCAACAGCGACACUACGUUAGUGCCACAGCUUAGAAAGGAUCACAUUACCCCGGCACCUGCCAACCUUGCUAGGAAUGCUACACAAGGUGCAAUCAGCAGGCUCAACGUGGUAAAUGGAGCUGCUCGCGCAGCACGAACCUCGCUGGCUCCCAGUUACAACGGUCACGAUCAGUCGGAAAACAUUCCCCCACAGAAAGCCAAGCAGGCCAAGGCCCAGCCAACCAGCCGAAUGUCGAUGGCUUCGCAGCCGGCUCCGGUAGCCACUCAGAUCGCACAACCGGUGGCGACUACGGCCGCCGCGCAGCUCAGUGCGGCCGCCUCGAACUCGCGGCGAUCGUACGUGGUCAAAGAGGUGGAACGGUUGAAGGAGAAUCGCGAAAAACGUCGAGCCAAGCAGGCAGUCAUACGGGAGGAGAAAAAUGCCCUCAUGAACAUGGACCCAGGAAACCCGAACUGGGAACUGGCGGCCAUGAUCCGUGAGUACCAAAGCCAGAUUGACUUUCGACCGCUGCUCGAUGGGCAAGCCAUCGAAGAUCACCAGAUUACAGUUUGCGUACGUAAAAGGCCACUCAGCCGGAAGGAAAUGAUGCGCAAGGAAUUGGAUGUCAUCUGUGUGCCCACGAAAGAUACGCUUAUAGUUCACGAGCCCAAAACCAAGGUUGACUUAACGAAGUUUCUAGAAAAUCACAAUUUUAGAUUUGACUACGCUUUCGAUGACUCCUGCGGCAAUGAACUGGUUUACAAAUAUACCGCCAAACCGUUGGUGCAAACCAUUUUCGAGGGAGGAAUGGCCACGUGCUUUGCCUACGGUCAGACCGGAUCAGGAAAAACGCACACUAUGGGCGGUGAUUUCAAUGGCAAGGUACAGGACUGCAAGAACGGUAUCUACGCUAUGGCAGCCAAGGACGUAUUCGCGUAUCUACAUAGCGCAAAGUAUAACCAUCUGAACCUGGUGGUUUCAGCGAGCUUCUUCGAAAUCUACAGUGGAAAAGUAUUCGAUCUCCUCUCGGACAAGCAGAAGCUACGUGUCCUCGAGGACGGUAAACAGCAGGUCCAAGUGGUUGGGCUCACGGAGAAGGUGGUCGAUUCCGUUGAGGAGGUUCUAGGUAUCAUCAAUCACGGUAAUAGCACUCGAACUUCUGGCCAAACCUCGGCCAACGCCAACUCUUCGCGAUCGCACGCCGUAUUCCAGCUGGUAGUACGGCCGAAGGGCUCCAUGAAAAUACACGGUAAAUUUUCCUUCAUCGAUUUGGCCGGUAACGAACGGGGUGCGGACACAUCGUCCGCUAAUCGACAAACCCGCAUGGAAGGAGCAGAAAUCAACAAGUCACUGUUGGCGCUAAAAGAGUGCAUUCGAGCGCUGGGCAAGCAGAACGCUCAUCUACCAUUCCGCGUAAGCAAGCUGACGCAGGUGCUGCGGGAUUCGUUUAUCGGAGAGAAAAGUAAGACCUGUAUGAUUGCUAUGAUUUCGCCGGGAUUGAGCUCGUGCGAGCACACGCUAAACACGCUGCGAUACGCAAAUCGCGUUAAGGAACUGGUGGCCAUUGAUCCGUCCGAACGGUCGGACGACGUUGAACCGAUGGAAAGUGACGAGCCGAAGAAUGGUGUCCUAUCGGAGAACGAUCUAGCACAGCUGCGAUCGUUGAACGAACAUGAUAUGUCGGUUGAGCUGUACAACCAGCAUGCGGCCAUUUCGGACUUGCAGCAAACGGAGGAGGAGGUGGUCGAUCACCACCAGAAAGUAAACGAAUUCCUUAUGAAAUUCUUGCCCGAAUCGAGAGAACUGUACAAGCAAACAAACUAUGUGGACUAUGAUCAAGAUGCUUACUGCAAACGUGGCGAGGAACUGUUCACCCAGCUAGCCGAGAUCGCAACGACCUGCAAGGAUCUGAUGUCGGAGUUCCGCGCCAAGCUAGCCAAGGAGGAAAUGCUGUCGCACAAGAUCAAUCCCGAGCGGAAGUACAAGUAGAAAAAAAACAACACCCGCGCGUGAGCGCACCACGCACCACCGCGGUGGGCGCUGUGUAUAGGUGUGCGUUAUUUUUUCUUCUUCUGUUUUUUACUGUGUGUCGUUUGUUUUUCGUUUUUCGUUUUCGUUUUUCGUCGGUGCAAUUGGCAACGGCAACGAAUGCGGAAGCUGCGCUAUCCAUAUUUCCAAACAAGCAAGCAAGUUUGCACCACCAGCACUUCGCUCGAGAGGGGGUCUGUUUUAUCUCCGAAUAGAAAUCUUUAAAAAUUGUUAUGAUACGAAAAACGAAAGGCAAGCUCCCGUAUCAGAAAAGGAGUCGUGUAGAGAAGGAGAGAAAGAGACGAAAAUGCAAAAAUGUUUUGUGUAUGAGACGGAAAAACGGACAAGCCAGCUAUGUAAUAAAGGAACGAGAUCUAAGGUUGGUGAGUGAGUGAGAAAACGAGAGACAGUAGGGCAUAGUUGAAACAAGGAAAUACCAGCAAGUGGCAUUGCGAGAAAUGAACAAACAAUACAUUAAUUCGCAAAACGAUUCCUAAUAAAGAAAUAUCAUUAACACUAAUACUUCUGCUUUCUCGAAAGAGUUCCUAAGGUAAAUCGCACGUAAAUUCCAAGUGUGAAACUGGAACGAUCGGCAAAGCGGAACGACCAACAUAUAAUUGUUAAGCAUUAUUAAACUAAUCGAUCAAAUCAUAAGUUGUCUCUCUUAAAUCACCGCAGGACCCAUCUGCAGAGAUUAAACAGAUUCCAGUAGUUCUCUUUAGUUCAUGAUACCAGUUUGUUUUUAUUUCAACUGUAUGCGUUUAGAAUUGACUGAUCUGCUUAGAAAUUUGUCUCUGGUAGUCUCUGCUAGUUGCCGGACGUUCGAAUAACUAAAAGCAUAUGUUGUCCAGCAAAAUGCAGUCUUUGCAACAACGCAGAGGUCUCAGGAUCGUUGAAGACAAAAAAAGCUAACAAAUGAUGUAGUGCGUGCAUGAGAGAAAGUAAAACAGUGAAAGAUACUAAAGUUGUAGAUAGUAAGAGCUUAUAUAACAAAGCAAACAAAUAAAUGAAAGACAACACUAAACACAGCAGAAAUAUAAAAAAAAUACUUAUAGCAAGAAAUGAAUAUAGAAACUAUCAAAAGAAGCCCAUAUUUGGUUUGGUAGACGUUUCUGUUUUGACGCACAAAAACAGACGAAUAUCUGAGUGAAUAUUUAAAUUAACAAAGGACUUUCUUUUACAGUAGUACUGCUGGUCGAUACCAGAUAGCUUCGCUUAAAUUUAUUUUAGCUUUAUUCUUCUACUAUUCAAACCGUCUAUACCUACGAACCGUGUUGCAAACGCGAACAAUAAUUUCUUUUAACAAAAAUUGGUUGCGAAUGGCUUCUGAAACAGUGAUUAUUCGAUUAAACUUGGUUGUUUUAGAACGAAACGAUAAAUCUUUUUUACUCAUGCUACCAUUGUAACAAGCAAAAUUUAAAA